GGUGAUGCGAUUACUUACCAGGGCAGUAGCGUCGUUUGGAACUCACGCGCCUCCGUAAACAUCUUUGCACCGACCUACUACGCAGAGGCACGGCUUAACCGCACCGGGCUCUGGGCAGCCGCUCUCCACAGCCGGAGGAACACCCGCCCACACGCCGUGAGCUGCUCCAGAUUCAGCUCAGUACCCGACCAAACAGGGGCAGAGGUGAACACUGGGAAGGAUGAGUGUAGACCGCAGGAGGCCGGUCAGAGGCCGCGAGCCUUGGGUGUGCUGCCCCCUCACCUACUAACAGUGUCCCCGCACCACACAGUCGAGUCCCUGCUGGUGGGAGAACGGUGGGAGCCCUGGCAUCCCCCGGAGCGAGGCAGAGUGCGUUUUAACCACACAGCCCCCUCCACCUGCCUCCCCUGCCUCCCCCUGCUGCCCCUGCCUCCCCCUGCCUCUCCCUGCCUCCCCCUGUCUCCCCCUCUCUCCCCCGACUCCCCUGCCUCCUCCCACCUCCCCCUGCCUCCCCUUGUCUCCCUCUGCUUCCCAUGUCUCCCCUGCUUCCCCUGUCCCCUCACUUCCCCUGCCUCCCCCAUCUCCCCCUGCCUCUCCCUGCCUCCCCCUGUCUCCCCCUAUCUCCCUUUGACUCCCCUGCCUCCUCCCACCUCCCCCUGCCUCCCCUUGUCUCCCUCUACUUCCCAUGUCUCCCCUGCUUCCCUUGUCCCCUCACUCCCCCCUGCCUCCCCCAUCUCCCCCUGCCUCCCCCUGCCUCCCCAUGUCUCCCCUUAUCUCCCCCUGCCUCCCCCUGCCUCCCCCUGUCUCCCCCUAUCUCCCCCGACUCCCCUGCCUCCUCCCACCUCCCCCUGCCUCUCCCUGCCUCCCCUUGUCUCCCUCUACUUCCCAUGUCUCCCCUGCUUCCCUUGUCCCCUCACUCCCCCCUGCCUCCCCCAUCUCCCCCUGCCUCUCCCUGCCUCCCCCUGUCUCCCCCUAUCUCCCCCGACUCCCCUGCCUCUCCCUGCCUCCCCCAUCUCUCCCUGCCUCCCCCUGCUGGUUCCUGACUUUGGCCACAAAGAGCUGGGCUACAGAGAACCAGAGACUCAGCCGGCACCUGGUAUGUUUUCAGGUGAAACCGGGAGGUUUAGCAACUUGCUAA
rnacentral:lncRNA from 1 species